rnacentral:snRNA from 11 species
AGCUUUGCGCAGUGGCAGUAUCGUAGCCAAUGAGGGUUAUCCGAGGCGCGAUUAUUGCUAAUUGAAAACUUUAAAAGAGAACAAACUCCAGAUCAGUGAUGAACACUGUGUACCGACAGCAUGUCGGACCCAGUGGCUUGAAACGCACCUGGCACAUAUAUGUGC